rnacentral:siRNA from 1 species
CACAUUCUUCUCUUUCUCGAUGC